rnacentral:lncRNA from 1 species
GCCCCACAGUUGCCUGCCAACAGCCAGGUGUGCCUGACUCACUAUAAAAGGGGCUGCUUGCCCCUUCUGCUCUCUUUUGCUUUCUUGCCUUCCUGCUCUCCCUCUGUCCUCUUGUCCCUUCCCCCUCACUUGCCGUUUCCUCCCCUCCCCCUUUCCAUGUACUCACGGCGGUCUCUCUAAGCUCCCCCCUCUCUCCUACUCUCUCAACUCCCCUCCCCAUGUAUUCCGUCCUGUGGCUGGUCCCUCAGGGGGAAGGGAUGCCUCAGCAUGGGCCCUCGGAGGUAUCCCUAUGCCCCACACCUGACCACACAUCCACCAAACAUAUUCCUCUCCCCUUUUUAUAAAACACAACAGACUCAACUCUUGAUCCAUUCAUAGUACGAUGGCACUGUUGGGAGUGGGUAAGAGGUAUAGGUAGUUGCCUACUAUAGGUAUAGGAAGUACAUCACUGGGGUAUGACCUUGGAACUAUUUUACUUGACAUCUUCCUUUUUUCUAUUGCUUCCUGGCUGCCACGGUGUGAGCUGUUUUGCUUCUCCAUGCCUUUGGGACCCAGAUGGACCUCUAAAAGAAUAGGAGUGUCUCCCCAAUUCUGGGUAUUUUUGUAACAGCUCUACCAAACUAAUCUGUAGGAAGGAGAAAAGGUGCACAAAGACAAAGAAAUGUUCCCUGAGUUUUGGAAGAUAAUGAAGAUUUCCCAAGGUAAAAGAGGAACAGUCAACAGCCUUCAGAAGCCAGGGGAGAGGCAACGCAUGGCUGAUGGAGAGGAGGAACCAGCCAGGCUAAUACUGUGAUCACAACUGACAGG